CAAGCCACACCCAAACAUAACGGAGAGUAAAAGGGGAACAUAUUUCAAAACGAAAACGUGACUCUUCUACAGACAGACGAUUUAAUAUUUUCACCACCGUGAAUGGUAAAGAUCGAAAUAUCAAUAAAUGACAAACUGUGCAUACUUGAACUAGUCAGUAAGGAUAUAAAAGAGUUGAAGGCAAGUCUCAAGAUGAGUGACGAAACAGCUGCGACAUUGGAGAAAGACAAACAAGCUAACAGGGACAGUCAAUAAGAUUACAACUGAAGUUAAUGAACUUAAAAUGGAGAACAUCGUUCUGAGAGAAGCCUUACUUGACAUACAGACUAGAUCCAUGAGAGAAAAACUGGUACUUACAGACCGAGUGCACAGAGACCCAGGAAAAUUGGAAGGUCUGAAGAAACUGGAACCCAGGUGGCGAUAUCCUUCUCCAGAACCUGGUGCUGGACGUUCCGUGCAUCUUCGCGGAGCUUGGCUUCUUCCAUCAGAAUGGUAGCCUGCAGAAUCAAAAAUGUGUGCUCUAUACUGUGCUAUAUAUUAAAAACGGCCAUAUGCCAUUUAUAUUUGA